GACGAACGCUGGCGGCGUGCCUAAUACAUGCCAGUAGAACGCACAGUUUAUACCGUAGCUUGCUACACCAUAGACUGUGAGUUGCGAACGGGUGAGUAACGCGUAGGUAACCUGCCUGGUAGCGGGGGAUAACUAUUGGAAACGAUAGCUAAUACCGCAUAAUAUUGAUUAUUGCAUGAUAAUUGAUUGAAAGAUGCUAUUGCAUCACUACCAGAUGGACCUGCGUUGUAUUAGCUAGUAGGUGAGGUAAAGGCUCACCUAGGCGACGAUACAUAGCCGACCUGAGAGGGUGAUCGGCCACACUGGGACUGAGACACGGCCCAGACUCCUACGGGAGGCAGCAGUAGGGAAUCUUCGGCAAUGGACGAAAGUCUGACCGAGCAACGCCGCGGGAGUGAAGAAGGUUUUCGGAUCGUAAAGCUCGGUUGUAAGAGAAGAACGGGUGUGAGAGUGGAAAGUUCACACUGUGACGGUAUCUUACCAGAAAGGGACGGCUAACUACGUG
rnacentral:rRNA from 1 species